rnacentral:lncRNA from 1 species
UUAGAUAUUGCUAAACUGAAAAAACAAGUUUUUGAGGCAUCUCAGGCUCAUCUCACCCUAUUGCCUGGAGCUGAUAUUCUUGCUGGAGCCUCUGAUGGCCUUUCUAAUACCAAUCCUUUAAAGUGGAUUGAAACCAUAGGUGGAUCAACAAUUGCAAAUUUUAUUUUGGUUUGUGUCUGUUUAUGUUGCUUGUUUUUAGUCUACAGAUGCAGAUGGUGCCUUGGGAGAGAAACCAGACACCAUGAAUGAGCCAUAAUAGCAAUGGCAGUUAUUAAUAAAAAAAAAUCAAUAGAGGCAAAAAAGGGGAACAUGUGGGAAAGUGUUUCUGGGGUGCCAGUUGAGUUGGUCUCCCCUGUGUGAGACACCCAUGGGAAGCCAUGGGCAGCCUCUGGGGAGAAAAGUCUCCUUAUUGCUUUCAUGUCUUUAUGCCCCAAGAGCAUAACCACUCAGCAGCAUUCCACAGGUUGCUCAGGGAGACAACACUCCCUUGAAGCAGUGGAGUAUAAUCAAACAUCUUGGCUCCUCCUUAAACCCGCUCCCACCCAUUUCAGUCCUGAUAAGCUAAAGAUCUUAAGUAGUUUAGACACACGCCUUUGCUCAAGGAAAUUCACAGAAACCGCCACUGCUACACAUCUUAUGGAAUGACUCACGAGUUCUCCUUCACUGAUUAAUCCUUUUCCUCAUCCCUUCCUCCCCCUCCCAUCUGCCCUAAGAACAAAGAGCUUGUAAACCAGUAAAUUUGGCAGAGCUCAAGAGCUCUGGGCCGUGAGCAAGCCUCCGAUAUUCUGGUCCCCUGAACCCGCCUUUUAAAUGCUUAUUCUGUCUCUUUCUAACUCCUAUGUCUCCACCAGACUCAGGGUACCCACUGGGUGGUGUGGGGCUGGUUUCCCUAACAUUCCCCACCAAAUAAAGCAGCUCCAACCUUCUAGAUGGUUGCUCAGCUCAGAAGUCUUAGAGAAAUUCUGAUGCCUCUCCUCACAUUUGCUCUGUCGGCAAAUCCUGGUGUCACAAGAGGGCUCAGGAGGGUUUCUGGAUGCCAACGAGACCCCAGCCACAGCCGGUCCCCAGAUUCUUGACAUCAUCACAAGAAAGAAUUCACAGGGUUGCUUCAGCGUCCUCACAACAGGAUGGCUGACUUCCCCAAGAGAGCAGCUCAAGAGAGAGCAAGGAGAAAGACACAACAUCUUUAAUGAUCUAUGCUUGGAAGCUAUAUGUUGCCACUUUUGCAAUAUCCUACAGAUCGCUUAGCUCCAUCCAACAUGGAAAGGGAUCAGACACGGGCAUCAUUGCCAGAUGAUAAUCCCUGAUGGUCAUCUUGGAUGCUGGCCACCACAGUUACAUUUGAGGUUCUACUUGAAUCAUAGUUUCUUUGCUCCUGGGAGACCCCUGCUAUUCCCAGUGAUGCUGCGAACUGGGGUUCAAAGUGGGGUGGCCUGGUGAGGCCUAAAAUCCAUGUCCCGUGGAGAACUGCCUGCAUCCCUUACAGAACCUGCCACAUAUUUCUGCAGCUUCCAAGAGGAAGGCUGGAAUUUACUGAGCUUACUGAAGCCAAUUAUCCCAAGAGUAUGUGAUCCAGAAGCAAGAUAAAGAUCAAAAGGACUCAGCUGGGAUUUGGCCUUCUCCAAGUGGAAGGAAUAAAAUCUGCAAUUGGCUCUGAAAAUAAAAACCAAACAAAAUCUCAGGCAAUCAUAGACAUGGCUCUUUGCUAUUUAUGAGCUUUUCUUUCUUUCUUUUUUUUUUUAAUUUAAACAAAUGUUAAAAGAUUUUUGUGUGGACCUCAGAUUCCAGCUUUACACUGAAACUCAACAUUAGUGUCGAAGCACUUGCAGGCCAUAUGUGCUCCAGCGAGGGUUUGGGAAUGUUGGGUGGUGUUGGUGGGCACCCAUAAUUGCCACUUGCUAUCACGUGAAUGCCUUAGGCAUGACGGAUUGCCAGUGCCCCUCUGAGCAGUCACUUGGAAGCUUUGCCAAAAUAUAAAUAUGUAACAUGAACAGAGGGUGCGUGACUUUUUAACUGCAGUAGCCACCUUUCAGACACCUGAGGCUUUGGUGUCCUCAGUUCCAAAAGCCACACAGCAGCUCUUAACCUGGAGAGAGGAAGGCACCUGGGGAAAAGUCACGUUCUUCCAAAGCCUUCACAUCAAUCUUUCAUGGAUAUUGAGUUUUUAAAUGUUGGUGAUUGUCGUGUCUUUUGCAGCCUGACAUUUGGGAGGAAGGGUGUCGAACUUUAUUAUUUAAAAUUUUUUUUUUAAAUUUUAAUUUAAUUUAAUUUAAUUAUGGCAAGAACACUUAACAUAAGA